rnacentral:rRNA from 1 species
UGAACGCUGGCGGCGUGCUUAACACAUGCAAGUCGAACGAUGAAGCCUAGCUUGCUAGGUGGAUUAGUGGCGCACGGGUGAGUAAUAUAUAGAUAAUGUGCCUCUUAGUCUGGGAUAGCCAUUGGAAACGAUGAUUAAUACUAGAUACUCCUUCUAACCAUAUGGUUAGUCGGGAAAGUUUUUCGCUAAGAGAUCAGUCUAUAUCGCAUCAGUUAGUUGGUAGGGUAAUGGCCUACCAAGACAAUGACGCGUAGCGGGUUUGAGAGGAUGAUCCGCCACACUGGUACUGAGACACGGACCAGACUCCUACGGGAGGCAGCAGUGAGGAAUAUUGCACAAUGGGGGAAACCCUGAUGCAGCAACGCCGCGUGGAGGAUGACGCAUUUCGGUGUGUAAACUCCUUUUAUGAGUCAAGAAAAUGACGGUAGCUCAUGAAUAAGCACCGGCUAACUCC